rnacentral:misc_RNA from 1 species
UUCUUAGUAUAAGUGUAGGCGAUUUUUUGAUUGGAAAGUAAAGGAGCAAUAACCAACACUCUUGAUAGAAUAAGAAAUUGGUUAUUGUUCCUUCCUUUUUCCUUAGAUGUUCAUUUUUUUAUAAUUUAUAUACAUUCUUUUCAACCCUUUGUAAGGCUUUGUGAAAUUAUUAUCUUAUCUUCUAAUUUUUUUUUUUUUUUAGGGAAAAAAAAUACWAUWAAAAGGGGGGGSGGAUGUACCCAAKGGGAUAAGGGGGGGGGAUUGURAAUCCCCCAKGCCCCCCKKGGUAAAAUUKUUUY